rnacentral:ncRNA from 1 species
ACAGGUGUCCUUUCCCACGGGAAAGGCUGAAUAAGGAAGCGGGUGAGAAUCCCGCACGGGACCGCCGCUGUAUUUGGCGAGCGGAAGCCACGAUGUCACUGGGGCAACCCCCUGGGAAGACGGCCGACGCGAUGACCCAUGAGCCAGAAGACUUGCCUGUGCUU